ACUGCCUAUCGCUACUACCGAUUAAAUAGCUUAAUAAGGCAUCCGGACUAGCCUAAAGAGGUAGGCAACUACUAUUUAGGGCCGGAAAGCUCUCUAAACUUAAUUAUUUAAAGAAAAUAAAAAUCGUAAUAAGGUCUCUAUUAGUAAAUUAAUAAAAG
rfam:Villosiclava virens strain TV-8b Sca_37, whole genome shotgun sequence.